rnacentral:rRNA from 1 species
AUGAACGCUGGCGGCGUGCCUAAUACAUGCAAGUCGAGCGCACGGACGAGAAGCUUGCUUCUCUGAUGUUAGCGGCGGACGGGUGAGUAACACGUGGAUAACCUACCUAUAAGACUGGGAUAACUUCGGGAAACCGGAGCUAAUACCGGAUGAUAUUUUGAACCGCAUGGUUCAAAAGUGAAAGACGGUCUUGCUGUCACUUAUAGAUGGAUCCGCGCUGCAUUAGCUAGUUGGUAAGGUAACGGCUUACCAAGGCAACGAUGCAUAGCCGACCUGAGAGGGUGAUCGGCCACACUGGAACUGAGACACGGUCCAGACUCCUACGGGAGGCAGCAGUAGGGAAUCUUCCGCAAUGGGCGAAAGCCUGACGGAGUAACGCCGCGUGAGUGAUGAAGGUCUUCGGAUCGUAAAACUCUGUUAUUAGGGAAGAACAUAUGUGUAAGUAACUGUGCACAUCUUGACGGUACCUAAUCAGAAAGCCACGGCUAACUACGUG